GGACAGAGGGCCUCACAGGGGACAGGGGCCCUCACAGGGGACAGGGGCCCUCACAGAAGACAGAGGUCCUCACAGGGGACAGAGGCCCUCACAGAAGACAGAGGUCCUCACAGGGGACAGAGGCCCUCAGGGGACAGGGGACCUCACAGGGGACAGAGGCCCUCACAGGGGACAGAGGCCCUCACAGAAGACAGAGGCCCUCACAGGGGACAGAGGCCCUCACAGGGGACAGGGGACCUCACAGGGGACAG